CCACAUUUGUCUUUGUUAGAGAAUUCAGCAAGCAUAGGAAGCCUUGCAAGAACAACUUCUCUCCAUUUCAGUUAUAGAAAAUAGAGUGAUGUUUAUAGAAAAAUCUACAACCCUUGCUUGUAAGAGUAAAAUCAGCAAAAAAAGCAUUGCGUCUCUUCUAGGUUCGUUAGAGGAGAAUCAACAGAUAGAGAUACUCACGGCUCUGUGCUCCAUCUUCUAAAAGCCGUGGCAUGUGUUAAAAGAAGAACUCCAGACUUCUCUUGCCACUACUCAUCACUUAUCGCUCAUCAGAAUUGCUCAUCUGUUGGUCUAGCUCUUGUCAAUUGCUGCUUGAUAAAAAAAUUAUGCAUUCUCAGAGUGCUCUUCUCAUCAAAGCUCAAGAAUUCCAAUAUGAAUCUAAUGUUCAAGAAAAUAUGGAGCAAGUUGAAGUUCAAGAGUUCUUUUACCAAUUUGAUUCGGGGUAGUUUAAAGAUGUCUUAUUAUUUAGAUAUGCUGAAUUUUUUCUCUUUUUUGGAGUUGGUAAAGAUAGAUCAUACUAACUUGAAUAUGAUCUAUCUUUCUUUAAUUAGUUAUUUGUAUUAAC